GAUGUGGUGGUUUGAGUAUUGGACUGUGACUCUGGAGACCAGGGUUCGAUUCCCUGCCACAGCC